GGCGGACGGGUGAGUAACGCGUGAGUAACCUGCCUUUCAGAGGGGGAUAACGUUUGGAAACGAACGCUAAUACCGCAUAACAUAUCGUUGUCGCAUGGCAGUGAUAUCAAAGGAGCAAUCCGCUGAAAGAUGGACUCGCGUCUGAUUAGAUAGUUGGCGGGUAAUGGCCCACCAAGUCGACGAUCAGUAGCCGGACUGAGAGGUUGAACGGCCACAUUGGGACUGAGACACGGCCCAGACUCCUACGGGAGGCAGCAGUGAGGGAUAUUGCACAAUGGGCGCAAGCCUGAUGCCAGCAACGCCGCGUGAAGGAUGACGGUUUUCGGAUUGUAAACUUCUGUUCUUAGUGAUGAUAAUGACAUUAGCUAAGGAGAAAGCCACGGCUAACUACGUGCCAGCCGCCGC
rnacentral:rRNA from 1 species